rnacentral:miRNA from 1 species
AUUAAAAUGUGCACAGUAAAGAGAUUAAAUGAUUAAAUGUUUUUACUACUGACCAAUGCACCACUAGUGCCCCUGUCAGUCAUUCUGGCCAGCCAAUCACGUAGUGCGGUACGGUGCGGUGGCGCACGCGUAGAUGCCCGCGGUACGGGUUUGUACCGUGCA